GCCCCAGGGGACGGACGCAGCAAGGGAGAGCAGGUUCCCUGAACCAAGAGGCGGAAUGCUAUGGGGUCCUUAAGUCUGGAGACUUUGAGGAGGAACAAGCACAUCCUAUCCCCAAACACUCCAGGCAUCAGACAGCGCCAUGCCUCUUGCCCCUCCCCUGGGUGGGAGGCUGCCCUGUCUUCCCAGGUCCUUGAGGCUCUCUGGCUGCCGCUGUGGGUGCAGAAGAGGUGGGGUCCCUGCAUACACCCAGCCAGCCGGCCGCACUGCCCCUUCAGACACCAGCUCCUGCCUGACGCAGGAAGCCCAGGCAAUGGCCAGGAGCUUGGCUGGGGGCUCUGAGCGCAAAGCUGCUUGUGGGGACAGAGGAGAGGGCAGCUGGUGGAUCUCUGGCUUCUGGCUGGGCUGGUUCAGGAUGUUUCUUCUCAGGAGGCUACUUGUAUCAAGGUUGGAGGAGGCUGGAGCAGGCCUCUCACUUGUCCCCACAUACCCUGACCCCACAUACCCUGACCCCACAUACCCUAAGCCCACAUACCCUGACCCCAUCAUAAGAAAUGCCAGCUCGCCCUGGACAUCCCAUGGCUUCUCCUCACCCCCCCACUUCCCCAGGCAGGCUGCCCAGGCCAGGAUGUGGAUGAGAACUGUCAACAGACACUCUUUAAAUAUUUACCCACACUUUCUCUGGGCGGUUUCCCUCACCCCCAAGACAGGGUACAUGCAAGUUAAUUCUAAUGCACCCUUCUCUGGCCAUAUGUGCGUGCAGUUAUGUGGGCUGAACACAGACAGAGAGAAAAGGGAGAAAGUGAGAGAGCUGUAGAUAUGUGUGCUGUGUGCAUACGAAUGAAGAAGAGGAAGAAUGAUUUUUCUGGCCCUCUCCCAGUACAGUGUGUGAGGUUGUUACACACAGGACAACACUGAGGUACACUGGGGAUAUACAGAUACUGUAUAUGCUACCUUCCACCCUGAAAAACAUCAAAUGCACGCUCACUAAACUAUCAUGCCUUGAAGCACCCCUGUCACUUCACAAAUACUGUGCACACACAUGCACACCCAGGCACAUAGGAAAACAAUGCCUAACAAAUACACGCGCAGCUUUAGCUCUUUGCAUCAUGAACAAAUUUGCUACCUAUUUUCCGUCCACAUCCUGAGGCUUCCACAUCCUGGAUGAGGAAGGAGGCAGAAGGAAACCAGAUCUUUUUCUUCCCCAUCUGGAAGCCAGCUCUGGGUAUGGAGGAAGGCAUGGCAGUGCAGGGGAGGAUGGUGUUGAGAGAACGGAGCCUCCCCACCCCACCCCUCUAUUAUCUAAAUAAUUUCUGGGGAAAUGGCCACCCUCAGCCACAUUCUCCAAGGAGAUUCACUGAUGCCCAAGCAAGAGAUGCUUCCUCUAUCCUCUGAAUUUAGAGAAACCCACCCCCAUCUGAGUUCGGGGCUGCCCAGACUCUGUGAAGCCCAGACCAUGGACCCUGGAGCAGCAGGAGGGGAGGGUCAGAGGAAGGCUGUGCCAGGGCUUCAUGUCUCCCUAGGGCCCAGGAUAGUGGAGGACACGACAGGGGAGAGCACGCUCCAGCCUUGGUUGCAGCCCUGCCUUCUCUGAGCCUGCUCUGCAGUCCUGAGCGGAUCCGGAUGGACUCUGGGCUCCCAGCAUCUGAUCACCCGGACUGUCAUAAAUACUUUCUCCUCCCUGCCUGGGAAGAGGAGGCUCGGCAGGCCGGGUCCGUUCUGGAGCCUGCACCUUAUCUUUUAGAGGGUGGAGGGGAUAUCUCUACAGUUUAUGGUCCAGCGAAAUCCCUGCCACACAGCUAUUCUUCCGGGUCUUUGUGUCUUGGAAUGCGACUGUCCUGAGUGUGCCGCCACCACCACCACCACCACCACCACCACCGCCGGCUCCGAGAGCCCACCAGUCCUGAAAACCCUGGCCGGACUUGGUUUCCCCUUUUGGGGGGUCCCUCGCCUUUUCUUCCUUUCUUUCAUUUGAUUUUUUUUUCUUUUACACGUAACUGGUUGAUUUCCCUUCGGGAGCCAGGAAAUAAAGAACCACAAGCAGCCAUCCUCGCUUGGGAGUCUCUGUCCCUCGCCUCGAGGCCUGCACCGCCUUUCUAGGUAUCGCGGAUUUAUGUUCGUUUGUCUGGGUCAUUCUGCCUUUUUGUGUUAAUUACGCGCUGCCUGCUUCGUUCUUAUCUCCUCCGCAAAGGGAUUAUUUUCGACACCCGCCCUCCCUCGCCUCCCUCGCGAACCUGCUGUCAGAGCCAGGGCCCAUCUCCCGCCACCGCUCGCGAUUUAUUUACACCUCGCAGGUGAGAGGAUUGAUUUGCUCAGCCAGUAGGGCCGGGCUGGACCGGGGCGCGGGGCCUUGUCGCCACUGCUCGGAGGAGCCGGGCCUCAAAUGUCAGCGCGGCCAGGCCGGCCAGGGGCACCGCCGCCGCCUCUAAUAUUGAACAACAGCGCCACCUCGCGUUCAUUUUCUCCAAUGCAGUCCAGCUGGGGAAAAAGCCGAGGGAGAGAGCAAGCAGGUCUCAGGCUUGGCCCUAAGAGACACCAUGCAAAGGAACUGCCGCGAUCCUUCCUCCUCCCCUCUUCAGGCGCAUUUCUGGGCUGGGAACACCUCCGCGCACGCCGACGCACGCUCUGAAGCUCCCGCAACCACCUGCCCAAGGCUGCACCCUGAACUCCUGGCUCUUCUUACCCUGCUGCAGGUCCCGCACCGCCUAUUCCGCCGCUGCCCGCUGGACUUUGGGGUGGGACUCAGACUUCUCCCGGCUGUUUGCCCCCUGGUUUGCAGCCCAUCCCUCUCUCACGCGCGCUCUCUCCACCUCUCCCUCCCAGCCAGUGAGGUCCUGUUCUCCGUGGGCCAUAGACAAAACAUUCCUAUAAUCUGAUUUCAAAGGAAAGAGUGUCCACCUUAUUUAAACCAUAAAACAAUUAAGCCCAGACGUCUAGCCAGCUCCGCGCUGCUGUUUUGUUCGGCCCCAUUCAGAAUCCAGCGCAGGGAGACAAACAGCGCCAUAAAAGUGGCAUUUCGGUGCUGCGGAAAUGUACCUAUCCCCGGCCUUUCCAAGUGGAACAACCUUUAGGGUUUUGUGGUUCUGACAAAGGAGCAGAGGAGAGGUGGGAGGGGAAGAGUAGGGCAGGAGGGCGUUUGCUAGCCCCUUUCCCCCAGCUUUCGUUUCUUUCCCCAGAUGUGUGUUGUGUCGUGGUGGUUCUAACUCACAAAUUAUAAUAAAUAAAAAUUGAAUCCAAUCCUGA